rnacentral:lncRNA from 14 species
CUCUGCAAAGGUUUGCAUUCCUUUGAGGUCGGAAGGCACUGGUGGGUGCCAGAGCAGCACUUUGUUUAGUGAGGAGAUCGUGCCUGGAAUCCGGCAGCUCCAGGGGAAAAUCCGGGAAAAAGCAUUUCUGACACUUUUAUUCCUCACUUCAACUGCAAAGUUGUGUUCUGGAGUAGAUGUUUGGGAGCGAGCAGGACACUACAUUAAGCUUUUUUAUUUCUGGAACAGAACAAGCUACACAAAGCUGAGCCUCACGUUUGGCAGGGUCGUGCUGUAUUCCACGGCAUUUCAGGUUAAGUUUUGUGGAUACCUGUCCAUCCCCGUCUCUCCUUCCUGCAGACCCCUCACCUAACACCUGGGGGUCCCUGAUCCGUGUGAAAUCGCCCCGAAGCCCCUCUCCUCCCCCCGGAACACCGCGCUGCAGCUCCGGCUCCUUCCCAUUCAUUCCCUUGGAGCCGGGAUGCUCGCAGGCACCUGCCGGCACCCUUGGCAGGAUAACCGCGCCGCAGGGGCGUCUGUCGCGAUGGAGGGCUGCGGUAUGAAGUCUGUCUGUCGCGACAGAGGGCUGCGAUAAGAAGCCUCUCUAUGCGGGGCAGCUCUGGCGCAUCCCGCCGAGCGCAUGACGCCGGCGCCGGGAAAAGCCAGGGAAACACGGCGCUCCAGGGGAACAGCCGGCGUCCCGGAGGUGCCAGCCGGCUCCAUCCCACGCCUUUCCCCGAGCCCGGCUCCGCCGCUCCGCCUCCCCCGCUCCGAGCGCAGCGGCUGCGGCAGCGGGCGGGGCGCGGGGACCGGCCCGGGCCGCACGGACAGAGCGGGCGGGAGGUGAGCGGCGGGGAGGAGGGAAACGAGGAGGAGGAGGGAGGGAGGAAGGGAGGAGGGAAAGGUGGGGAUUUAAGCGCGGGCAGCGCCGGGCUGGGGAGCUGCGGUGCGCGGAAGGAGGUGAGGGAGGCGCGGGGCCGCGCUGCACUACAUCCCGGUGUUUUACAUCCCGGUGUUUUACAUCCCGGUGCGCUGCAUCCCGGCGUUCUGCAUCCCGGUGCGCUGCAUCCCCGUGUUCCCGCAUCCCGGUGCGCUGCAGCCCGGUGUUUUACAUCCCGGUGCGUUCAUCCCGGUGCUCUGCAUCCCGGUGUUCUGCAGCCCGGUGUUCCCGCAGCCCGGUGUUUUACAUCCCGGUGCGCUGCAUCCCGGUGCUCUGCAUCCCGGUGUUCUGCAUCCCGGUGUUCCCACAGCCCGGUGUUCUGCAGCCCGGAGCUCCCGCAUCCCGGCGUUCCCGCAUCCCGGAGCCCCCGGUGCCGGCGCUCAUUCCCCGCUCAGCUCGGCUCGGCUCGCCCAAGGGCACCGCGGCGGAGGCGCGUCCCGGAGCAUCCCCAGCCAGGGCCGCUGACCUUGGCGAGCGCGGCCGCGGCCACGGCGAGUCCCCGGCGGCUCGGCACUCUCCAAGCCCCCUGGAGCUGAAGAUGGACGUGAAGAGGGUGAAGGACUACCUGUACUGGCUGUACUACCAGUACCAGCUGGUGACGUGCAGCUACGUGCUGGAGCCCUGGGAGCAGUCCAUGUUCCACACCAUCACGGUCACCGUGCUGGCCAUGGUGGUGUACACCGCCUACGUCUUCGUGCCCAUCCACGUCCGCCUGGCCCUGCAGUUCUUCUCCCAGAUCUUUGGGUCCCAGCCCAAGGGUGCUGUGCUGAACUGAGCCGGGCCCAGCAGGGCCCAGCAGCUCUGUGGAAUGAGUCACAAAUGGUUCCUGCUGAGGAAAACCCUGCUUGUUUCACCUGUGGGGCUGGAGAGCGGAGUGAGGCACCAAGCCCUCUUCCAUGGACACUCUGGGAAUGGCACACAGCUCCUGGGAUGGCACAGGAUCCACACAGCUCCCACCCCAGCACCAAACCCCAUCUCCUGUUCCAUCCUUGCUCAGCCAUUCUCUUCCCAGUGCUGCUUUAGGAUCUGCUGCUUUGAGGGACAGCAAAGUUCUGCUGCCCCAAACUCACUGUGACCACCAGACUGGAGGGGUGUGAUGUGCCCAAGCCUCUUUGUUCUGGCAUUUCAGGCAGCACAAGUGUAGAAGAAAAUGGGGCACUGGCAGGUUUUCCAGCAGGGAAUCUGCUGAAUUCCCUAUGGACUGAUCUGCUUGGAAUGCCCUCAAACCCCAAAAUAACAGAAUCCCUCUGUAAAGCCUUGAACACUUUCUUAUCAUUCUGUUUUCUCAAAAUAGAUGCUUUUAGCCUGCAUUUAAAGAUUGUUUCAAAUGCCAAAAAGCACAUUUAACAAUGAACAGUGGAAGCAAACCCUAUUUCCUGUUUAAUUCUUGCUCAGCCAUUCUCUUUCCCAAGUGGAGCCAGGAACAAUGAAUGCAUAAAGGCAUUACCCAGGAGGAAAAUCUGUCUUGGAUUUGUAAUUUCCAUUUAAUAUUCUUUUAAUCUGUAACGUUUUUCAUUUCUUUGGAAAUGAGCUGCAUCCAACUGCUCUGGCAGAGGCUCUUUUGGUGGCUCCUCACACCCAAAGUUCUACCAACACAGUGCAGGGGCCAGGUCAGAGGAGAUAACAAAUGAGGAUAUCCAGCAGGAUUGGAGUGCUCACGUCUGGCUGGUGGGUGACUCCCAGGCUUCAAUGGAUGGGAGAGGAACUCGGAAGAGAAUGCAACAGGAGGAUGAGCUCAAAUCCAGCUUUUUUCACGUCUAAGUUCCUGCCUCUGAGUUCAGAUGGUCUAAAAUAUUUUUCUUUUUGGAAAAAAGUUCUCCGCCUCAUCUUGCAGCUUAGUGAGGAUGACAGGAAGAAGCAGCCCUGCUCUGUCUCAGUGCCCUCCUGCCUUCUCUGAUGAAAAUCAAAAUCUUUUCUUGCUGCUCCCACUCUCCAAGGUAGCAAAGUGCAAACCAGCACCGGGGGAAGAGGACCCAGAGUGGAAAUAAUAUUUUAAUACCUGCAGGGAAGGCUUAAAGAGAUCUCCUUUACGAAGAAGAAAUUAGAUUUAUUACCAUUGCCUGUGGGGAUGUUUUGGAACAAUGGGAGGCUUGUUUGGUUUUCACUCUACACAAAUCAAACGUGGGUGCCAAAUCAUAAAUUACAGCUGCACUCUGCACGUCUCCACCAGCUGAUGCUCCUGUUAGUAAAGUGAGAGGUGCAAAAUGUAAAUAGCUUUCAAAUGAUGUUUGCACAGUUCUAGAUUAAAGAGAAGACCCUCUCAACUCCUUUCUCAAGCUGCAGUGGGCUCCUGCAUGCUUCAGAGCACAAAUUUGUUUGGAAACGAAGACAUGUGGUGAAGGUUGCCCAGAUCUGAACAUGUGUAUGCAGUUUUUUCAGCCAAAAAAAAUAAAAUUUUCUUCUUCACAAACGACCUCUGGCUGCAUGACUCAGCUCUUCUGUGUUUUCCACUCAUUCAUAAAUAUUCUGGAUGAGUGUGGGCCAGGCUGGCACUGUGAAAGAAGGAUUAUUUUGUGGUGAAUGUUUUGGGGAGAGGUUGGAGAAUCCUUUCAGUGGAUCUAGGGUGAGUGAACUUCAUCCCAAGAGCUCUCCUGUUUCUGGAGGGAAAAAACCUUCUGAUCUGCUUCAAAUUAAGG